GAGGAUAUGGCUCAGUGGUAGAGCACGUGCUUAGCAUGCAUGAGGUCCUGGUCUAAAUCCCUGGUACCUCCA
rnacentral:tRNA from 1 species